rnacentral:rRNA from 1 species
AAAUUGAAGAGUUUGAUCAUGGCUCAGAUUGAACGCUGGCGGCAGGCCUAACACAUGCAAGUCGAGCGGAAACGAGUUAUCUGAACCUUCGGGGAACGAUAACGGCGUCGAGCGGCGGACGGGUGAGUAAUGCCUAGGAAAUUGCCCUGAUGUGGGGGAUAACCAUUGGAAACGAUGGCUAAUACCGCAUGAUGCCUACGGGCCAA